UACGGAGGAUCCAAGCGUUAUCCGGAAUCAUUGGGUUUAAAGGGUCCGUAGGCGGUUUUGUAAGUCAGUGGUGAAAGCCCAUCGCUCAACGGUGGAACGGCCAUUGAUACUGCAAGACUUGAAUUACUAGGAAGUAACUAGAAUAUGUAGUGUAGCGGUGAAAUGCUUAGAUAUUACAUGGAAUACCAAUUGCGAAGGCAGGUUACUACUAGUGGUAAUUGACGCUGAUGGACGAAAGCGUGGGGAGCGAACAGG
rnacentral:rRNA from 1 species